GCCUUCUCAUGUGCUUUAAGGCCUGUUUAAUUUAUAUUUGAAAUGAUAUUUUAUCUUCUUUUUUUAUUUAUUUAAAUUUAACGCGUAUUUUUCUUCUUUUCAAUGUAUAUUGUUGUUUUUUUAUCGAGUUAGCUCGUUACUAUUUUGCUCUUUUCUUGUUGUUUUUGUUCGAGCUAGCAUUCUGCAUUGAAGUUAAGGCUUGGCAAAUUGAACUGAUAAACCGGAAAAAUGACCGAACCAAACCCCGAUCAUCCAACUUUGAAUCAAUCACUUGCACCACUAGAUUAACCAACUCCUUUGUGUAAAUAUGGUACAACAAAUAUAUUUAAUAAGUUCUUAUUCCAUAUAAACUAAAAAAUAUAUUAAAGUGUUAGGGAAACCUAACACUUCUCUUCAUUUAUUUUUUCCUUUACAGCUACAUUUCUUCAUCUUCUCCCUCUCUCUCUCUCUUUGUCAACUUAUUCUUCUCGAUGUUGUUAUCAUAUCCUUUUUUCUUUUCU
rnacentral:lncRNA from 1 species